UCUGUUUUCAGCUUUCCUUUUGAAUCUUUUGUUUUCUGGUCUUUGGUGGCAGCUGUUAUCAUUCCAGCUGUAGAGGAAUGGGAGGCAACUUCCUGUUAUUCUAUCCUGCCAUCUCCACGGGGGUGGACAUUCCCUCCCCCUCCUGUGCCUGGCUGUGGUUUAGGAAGAGCUGGAGUCUGAGGCAGGCCCAUCCCAUUCCCAGGGUUGGAGGAGUGGCCGGGAGCUUCUGGAAGGGCAGCUGGGGGCAAGGCAGACUACAGGCUCCGGCACCGACUGCUUGAAGCCAAGCGGAGGCCGGGGUGGCAGAGGGAGGUCAGACAGCAGCGAGUUUAGCACGUACAGGAGGGAGUUAGGGGUUGAGAGUGAUAGCAGGUGGAGGAGGGGAGGAGGAGGGGAAGAGGGAGAGCGAGAAGGAGAGGAGGAAACCCACAAGGAGAUGGUUGAUCUUUUUGGCUAGAAAUAAUUUGGGGGUGGACUGCGUGUGAAGAGAAGAAGUGACAUGAUCCAUUCUCCAGCACUGAGUAGUUGUCACAUUUGCGGAACUCUUUCUCAGAAUUUGGCAUAAGGCACCCACAGAGGGACUGAGCACGAGGCUUGCUCUCUGGAGUUUUAAAUUUGAUGAUAGGUGUGUGGUGCAGGCCUGCCAUUCUGUCUCCCUGGAGACGGAGACGCUGGCUACAAGUCUGAGUCCAGCCUGGGCUACAUAAUGUAGCCUGGGCUACAAACAUCCACUUCCUGGGUAUGGAGACACACACCUUUAAUCCCAGCAUUCUGGAGGCAGAGACAUAUGGAUCCCUGUAGAUUCCUCACCGGCCAGUUCCAAAGCAUCCAGGUUUAUAGUGAGGCCCUGUCUCAAAAAACAACCCGCCCCCACCUCUAAGUAUAAAAUGUGAACAAAGGCAGGGAAUAUCUUUUUGUGUGUGUGUGCGUGUUUGUUUUUAUUUUCGUUUUUCGAGGCAGGGUUUCUCUGUGGCUUUGGAGGCUGUCUAGCUCAUGUAAACCAGGCUGGUCUUGAUCUCCUCCUGUCUCUGCCUCCCGAGUGCUGGGAUUAAAGGCGUGCGCCACCACCGCCCUGCGGCAGGGACUAUUUUUAACUGGGUAUGCACAACCUCAUCUUACACACCUGUAAAAUACCCCGUAGGUAACCUUUGUAUAGGCAUUGUCAGCCCCACUUUGGAGUGGAAGUAACUCGAGUUUCAUAGGUAUUUGAGUACCUUGUCCAGUGUUACACAGCAAGGAACUGGCAGAGACCUGGGGAGGAUCCACUCCCAGACCUCCCCACCUCUGCCCUGUUUUUUCACUGUGGCAUCCAGCUAAGUCUCGACAGAGGACAAAAGCCUUACCUGGACCUUCCUGGAAAAAGGGACAAUCCAGUUACACCGGCCCAUCCAUCCCUGAGUUUCUAUAAUGGACGGUGGGUUCCCAGGACAGAGGGAUGAAGGACAUAGAAACAGUUCAGUUCCCAGCUCUUACUUCAUAGCUGCCAGUCCAUUAACUCCAACGCCAGUAACUGCCAGUGGAAGCCAGUGCUUCCAUCCUCCGUGGGCACACACACGUACAUACAUAUAAUUAAAAAAAAAAAUAGCCUGGUGGUGUGGUGGCCCCUGUCUUUAAUCCCAGCCCAGCACUCAGGAAGGUAGAGGCAGACGGAUCUCUGUCCUUGGUCUACAGAGGGAGUUUCAGGACAGAAACACAAGAGAAACUCUUCUUGAGGAAAACAACAAAAAGCAAAAACAAACAGCAAAAAUAAAUCUUUUAAAAAACGGGUUAGUGCUGGGGUUGGUAGUGUGUGCCUGCAAGCGCGGCUCCCAGGAAGGCCCGCGCGGGAGGCUGACGAGUUCAAGAUCAGCCUAGGGAUGUGGAGACCCCAUCCUCCAAACAAAAAGCAAACAGUGGCAUUUCCGCCCCCUCUGCAGAGUCCGUCUUACUUGCGAGGGCUCUCGUGGUGUGUGAGGUUUUAUUACUUUACUUAUAUAUUUGUUAUUUUGCAAAAGCAGCCACGUGGUUGGGCGCCGCCAGGUGACCAUGCAGAGGUGAGGGAGGCGGCGUCCGGGACCCUGUCCUGUCCUCCAGGUUCUGCAAACCCUCCGUUUCCCCUCCCGGGGCGGCGCUGCAGGGCGGGAGGCCAGCAAGGCCUCGGCUGUAUCCGCGGGGCUCCCGUCCGCCCCGUCCGCGGCGGCUUUGCCGCAAAAGGGAGGGGGCCCUCGGGGUGAGCGUCGCUUCCCAUCCGGGGGCAGCGGCGGCCCAGGCUCCCCGCCGCUCUUGAUCGGCGCCCGGGGUACCGCAGUCCGGGCACCCGCGAUCCUCACCGACGCCCACUCAC
ensembl:lncRNA